rnacentral:lncRNA from 12 species
UCAUUGCUCUGCAAGAAAGUAACUUCUUGCUUGAUUUGUGGCUUUGCUGACAAACCUACUAAUUUUGCUCAUUGCCCAUGGUGGGCAGAAGGGGAAGUCACAGUCCCCAUGGAGCCUAUGGGGAUGCUGGUGAAAUAAGGAGCGACAGAGGAGCAUCAGUGGAAGAGGGACUGGGAGACUGAGAUCCGGGCGGGCUCAAGGAGGACUUCUUGGAGGACAGAGAUUCAGAUGGGAUGAGGGAAAGGGUUUCUGAGAUUGCGACUGUGCAAACAAAGGCAUUGAGAAGGGGUGGAUUGGGCAGCCCGGGUGGCCCAGCGGGUUAGUGCCAGCUUCAGCCCAGGGCCUGAUCCUGGAGACCUGGGAUUGAGUCCCACAUCGGGCUCCCUGCAUGCUUCUCCCUCUGCCUGUGUCUCUGACUCUCUCUGUGUCUCUCAUGAAUAAAUAAAUAAAAUCUUCUUUUUUUUUUAAAGGAAAGGGGCGGAUUUAGGGAGGACAGGGAAAGAUGAAGGGGCACCGAAUAAGGACCUGGCAUAUAAAAACCCACUCAGCAGAUUUUCUAAGGAAGGAACGGAAGGGGAAGGAGGCCCCGGGAAACUGGCCCCUGGGUGUCAGGCAAGUGUGUCUCAGGCCUUGAAAGAAAGGGGCCGCCAGCCUCACUCCUCCCCCCCCCCCCCGCCCGUCCUCAACCCCACCUCCCCUUCCCCUUUGGCUUCACCUGUGAGAAGUCAAUAUUGAUGUUUUAUGACCCAGGAUAAACACACAUUUUUUCCUCCCAUGGAGGGGUUAUCUGGUCCGGAGGGUUAAUCAGUGACCACUGGGGGUGGGGGAAGCACCUUUCCUCUCUGAGAAGAAAGCACCUAUUCAAUUCAAUCCCUUGGCCUGGCCCCUUCCCUCUUCCCCACCCCCCCACCCUCGGCUUCCACCGUGUCCGGCCCAUCCCUGGAGACUGACCUGGCCCAGCCAGUGCGUAAGGACAGGACUUUUGGGGAUCUGAGGCUGUGGUCUGAGUGGUUGAGGGCACUGUUAAAUAGGACGCAUCCGAGGAGAGCAUCCUUGAAGCCGUUUGCCCUGUGC